UACGAAGGGGGCUAGCGUUGCUCGGAAUCACUGGGCGUAAAGGGUGCGUAGGCGGGUCUUUAAGUCAGGGGUGAAAUCCUGGAGCUCAACUCCAGAACUGCCUUUGAUACUGAGGAUCUUGAGUUCGGGAGAGGUGAGUGGAACUGCGAGUGUAGAGGUGAAAAUUCGUAGAUAUUCGCAAGAACACCAGUGGCGAAGGCGGCUCACUGGCCCGAGUACUGACGCUGAGGCACGAAAGCGUGGGGAGCAAACAGGG
rnacentral:rRNA from 1 species